AUCGAAUUCUGGUCACCAUCCUCGUCAUGAAUCUAUCCUUCACUCCUUUUAUGGAUCCAUACACCAAAUCAUUCGCUGCUUCCCAACCCAAUAUCCGCCUCAUUGACCUCCCUCAAGUGGAUCUUCCUUCUUCUGAAGUUCUUGCUAUAUCUAUAGAAAGUUUUGUCUGUGCCAUUAUUGAGUCACAAACCCCAUGUCCAAGACAUUGUCUCUGAUAUUGUAUCUUCCCGAUCUAGCUGAGAUUCGGCUCCAGUUGCUGG
rnacentral:misc_RNA from 1 species